UACGAAGGGGGCUAGCGUUGUUCGGAAUUACUGGGCGUAAAGCGCGCGCAGGCGGUCGUUCAAGUCGCGUGUGAAAGCCCCCGGCUCAACUGGGGAGGGUCACGCGAUACUGAUCGACUGGAAGGCAGGAGAGGGUAGUGGAAUUCCCGGUGUAGUGGUGAAAUGCGUAGAUAUCGGGAGGAACACCAGUGGCGAAGGCGACUACCUGGCCUGUUCUUGACGCUGAGGCGCGAAAGCUAGGGGAGCAAACGGG
rnacentral:rRNA from 1 species